rnacentral:tRNA from 1 species
GGGAUCUUAGCUCAGCUGGGAGAGCAUCUGCCUUACAAGCAGAGAGUCAUAGGUUCGAGCCCUAUAGGUCCCA